rnacentral:rRNA from 1 species
CCUACGGGAUGCAGCAGUAGGGAAUCUUUCACACUGGGCGAAAGCCUGAUGGAGCAACGCCGCGUGCAGGAUGAAGGCCUUCGGGUUGUAAACUGCUUUUAUAAGCGAGAAAUAUGAUGGUAACUUAUGAAUAAGGAUCGGCUAACUACGUGCCAGCAGCCGCGGUCAUACGUAGGAUCCGAGCAUUAUCCGGAGUGACUGGGUGUAAAGAGUUGCGUAGGUGGCAUAAUAAGUAGCUAGUGAAAUCUGGUGGCUCAACCAUUCAGACUAUUAGCUAAACUGUUAAGCUCGAGACCGUUAGGGGUAACUGGAAUUUCUAGUGUAGGAGUGAAAUCCGUAGAUAUUAGAAGGAACACCAAUAGCGUAGGCAGGUUGCUGGGACGGUUCUGACACUAAGGCACGAAAGCGUAGGGAGCAAACGGGAUGAGAUACCCGUGUAGUC